AGCGUUGAAAAGCUUUGGGAUGAGUUGUGGAUAGGGGUGAAAUGCCAAUCGAACACGGAGAUAGCUGGUUCUCCCCGAAAUAGCUUUAGGGCUAGCCUCAUGGUAAAGAGUAUAGGCGGUAGAGCUCUGAUCGGGCUAGGGCCCACACCGGGUACCGAACCUAGUCAAACUACGAAUGGCUAUACUUAUACAUGGGAGUCAGACUAUGAGUGAUAAGGCCCAUAGUCAAGAGGGAAACAGCCCAGACCACCGACUAAGGCCCCCAAUGCUGCAUUAAGUGGCAAAGGAUGUGGAGUUUCCAAAACAACCAGGAUGUUGUCUUAGAAGCAGCCACCAUUUAAAGAGUGCGUAAUAGCUCACUGGUCGAGAGACUCUGCGCCGAAAAUGUCCGGGGCUAAAAUGCAGAGCCGAAGUCGUGGCAAUGGUAGCAAUACCAUUGGGUAGGGGAGCGUUCUUAUUGGAUUGAAGCAGUACCGGAAGGAGCUGUGGACUGGUAAGAAGUGAGAAUGCCGGUAUGAGUAGCGAAAAGAAAGGUGAGAAUCCUUUCCACCGAAAGCCUAAGGGUUCCUGAGCAACGAUCGUCGUCUCAGGGUAAGUCGGGACCUAAGCCGAGGCGGAAAAGCAUAGGCGAUGGACAACAGGUUGAAAUUCCUGUACUAGUAUGAAUUGUUUGAUCGAUGGAGUGACGCAAACAGGUAGGUUAGCAUGCGAUUGGAAGUGCAUGUUUAAGCGUGUAGGUUGUGUGAUAGGUAAAUCCGUUACACUAAAAGCUGAGGCGUGAUGACGAGCUCAAUAGAGUGAAGUAAUUGAUCCUAAGUUGCCGAGAAAAGCUUCUAGGUAGAGACAUACUACCCGUACCAAAACCGACACAGGUAGGCGGGGAGAGAAUCCUAAGGUGCGCGGGAAAACCCUCGUUAAGGAACUCGGCAAAAUGCAUCCGUAACUUCGGGAAAAGGAUGACCCAUGUAGUGUGAAAGCUUGUAACGGCUGGAGCAUGAAUGGGUGGCACAAGAGAGGCGCAAGCGACUGUUUACCACAAACACAGGUGCCUGCUAAAGCGAAAGCUGACGUAUAGGUGCUGACACCUGCCCGGUGCUGGAAGGUUAAGAGGAGGGGUUAGGAGUAAUCCGAAGCUCUGAAUUGAAGCCCCAGUAAACGGCGGCCGUAACUAUAACGGUCCUAAGGUAGCGAAAUUCCUUGUCGGGUAAGUUCCGACCCGCACGAAAG
rnacentral:rRNA from 1 species